rnacentral:rRNA from 1 species
UCGCCCUUCCUACGGGGGGCAGCAGUGGGGAAUUUUGCGCAAUGGGCGAAAGCCUGACGCAGCGACGCCGCGUGGGGGAAGAAGGCCUUCGGGUUGUAAACUCCUUUCGUGAGGGAAAAAGUCCCUAGUAAUCGGGAUGAUGGUACCUCAGGAAGAAGCCACGGCUAACUCUGUGCCAGCAGCCGCGGUAAUA